rnacentral:lncRNA from 1 species
CACUUGGUGCACGGAACUGCCCUCCCUCCGCGCGGUCCCCUCCGCGCACCCCGGGGACGCGCAGAGGCCGCCCGCGCGCGCCGCGCCUGGUGUCCGCGGAGGGCGGCGCCUGCGCAGGGCCCGGCGCGGCGGCGCGGCCUUUGAAGUCCCGGCGGCUGCCGCUUUCAUCCUCUCUUUUUUCCCUUGCAGGCCCCUUUGUGUGACUAAAUUUGGCAAGAAUAUGGAUCCGCGCCAGUCUUUCCACGUGUGCUCCCAGCUCCCAGCUGAGAAGGCCAAGGGUUCUCUUCCGGGCCUUCCUCUGGCUCUCCCUGAGUGAUCUCACCAUCACAUGACGUCUACUCCUUUAAGGCGGAUUCCUCUCCUCAGCCGGGGACCCAGCACAUCCUUUCCUGGCUGUCCCACAGCCGCAUGAAACCCACCAGGUCCAAAAUUAUACUCAUAACUUCCCCCCA